UACGAAGGGUGCAAGCGUUACUCGGAAUUACUGGGCGUAAAGCGUGCGUAGGUGGUUCGUUAAGUCUGAUGUGAAAGCCCUGGGCUCAACCUGGGAAUGGCAUUGGAUACUGGCGGACUGGAGUGCGGUAGAGGAUGGCGGAAUUCCGGUGUAGCAGUGAAAUGCGUAGAGAUCGGGAGGAACAUCCGUGGCGAAGGCGGCCAUCUGGACCAGCACUGACACUGAGGCACGAAAGCGUGGGGAGCAAACAGG
rnacentral:rRNA from 1 species